UACGUAGGGCGCAAGCGUUGUCCGGAAUUAUUGGGCGUAAAGAGCUCGUAGGCGGUUUGUCGCGUCUGCUGUGAAAACCUAAGGCUCAACCUUGGGCUUGCAGUGGGUACGGGCAGACUAGAGUGCGGUAGGGGUGACUGGAAUUCCUGGUGUAGCGGUGGAAUGCGCAGAUAUCAGGAGGAACACCGAUGGCGAAGGCAGGUCACUGGGCCGCAACUGACGCU
rnacentral:rRNA from 1 species